rnacentral:rRNA from 1 species
AGCAGCCGCGGUAAUUCCAGCUCCAAUAGCGUAUAUUAAAGUUGUUGCAGUUAAAAGCUCGUAGUUGAAUUUCGGGACCAAUUUGUUGGUCGUGCCUCGGUACGUACUGGUAUUAUUGGUUUCUCCCUUCUGAAGAACCUCGAUGCCAUUAAUUUGGUGUCGUGGGGAAUCAGGACUGUUACUUUGAAAAAUUGAGUGUUUAAAGCAAGCAUACGCUUGAAUACAUUAGCAUGGAAUAAUGAAAUAGGACGUUUGAUUCUAUUUUGUUGGUUUCUAGGAUCGACGUAAUGAUUAAUAGGGAUAGUUGGGGGCAUUAGUAUUCAAUUGUCAGAGGUGAAAUUCUUGGAUUUAUUGAAGACUAACU